rnacentral:rRNA from 1 species
UACGUAGGGUGCGAGCGUUGUCCGGAAUUACUGGGCGUAAAGAGCUCGUAGGUGGUUUGUCGCGUUGUUCGUGAAAACUCACAGCUCAACUGUGGGCGUGCGGGCGAUACGGGCAGACUGGAGUACUGCAGGGGAGACUGGAAUUCCUGGUGUAGCGGUGGAAUGCGCAGAUAUCAGGAGGAACACCGGUGGCGAAGGCGGGUCCCUGGGCAGUAACUGACGCUGAGGAGCGAAAGCGUGGGGAGCGAACAGG